AGUGAACGCUGGCGGUAGGCCUAACACAUGCAAGUCGAACGGCAGCACAGUAAGAGCUUGCUCUUACGGGUGGCGAGUGGCGGACGGGUGAGGAAUACAUCGGAAUCUACUUUUUCGUGGGGGAUAACGUAGGGAAACUUACGCUAAUACCGCAUACGACCUACGGGUGAAAGCAGGGGAUCUUCGGACCUUGCGCGAUUGAAUGAGCCGAUGUCGGAUUAGCUAGUUGGCGGGGUAAAGGCCCACCAAGGCGACGAUCCGUAGCUGGUCUGAGAGGAUGAUCAGCCACACUGGAACUGAGACACGGUCCAGACUCCUACGGGAGGCAGCAGUGGGGAAUAUUGGACAAUGGGCGCAAGCCUGAUCCAGCCAUACCGCGUGGGUGAAGGAGGCCUUCGGGUUGUAAAGCCCUUUUGUUGGGAAAGAGAAGCAGCAGGUUAAUACCCCGCUGUUCUGACGGUACCCAAAGAAUAAGCACCGGCUAACUUCGUG
rnacentral:rRNA from 1 species